rnacentral:rRNA from 1 species
CCUACGGGAGGCAGCAGUGGGGAAUCUUGNGCAAUGGGCGAAAGCCUGACGCAGCAACGCCGCGUGAGUGAUGAAGGCCCUCGGGUCGUAAAGCUCUGUCAGAAGGGAAGAAUAGAUGACGGUACCUUCAAAGGAAGCACCGGCUAACUCCGUGCCAGCAGCCGCGGUAAUAAU